rnacentral:rRNA from 1 species
CUAUACAUGCAAAUAGAGUUCCGACCAGAGAUGGAAGGAAUGCUUUUAUUAGAUCAAAACCAAUCGGUGGCGGGCUUGCCUUGCAACCGUUUGACUUGGUGACUCUGAAUAACUUUGUGCUGAUCGCACGGUCUCGUACCGGCGACGCAUCUUUCAAAUGUCUGCCUUAUCAACUGUCGAUGGUAGUUUCUGCGACUACCAUGGUUGUUACGGGUAACGGGGAAUCAGGGUUCGAUUCCGGAGAGGGAGCCUGAGAAACGGCUACCACAUCCAAGGAAGGCAGCAGGCGCGCAAAUUACCCACUCCCGGCACGGGGAGGUAGUGACGAAAAAUAACGAUACGGGACUCAUCCGAGGCCCCGUAAUCGGAAUGAGUACACUUUAAAUCCUUUAACGAGGAUCUAUUAGAGGGCCAGUCUGGUGCCAGCAGCCGCGGUAAUUCCAGCUCUAAUAGCGUAUAUUAAAGUUGUUGCGGUUAAAAAGCUCGUAGUUGAAUCUGUGUCCCACACUGUCGGUUCACCGCUCGCGGUGUUCAACUGGCAUGUCUGUGGGACGUCCUACCGGUGGGCUUAGCCCGUCAAAAGGCGGCCCAACUCAAAAUCCUACCACGGUGCUCUUCACCGAGUGUCGAGGUGGGCCGGUACGUUUACUUUGAACAAAUUAGAGUGCUUAAAGCAGGCUCAUUCGCCUGAAUAUUGUGUGCAUGGAAUAAUGGAAUAGGACCUCGGUUCUAUUUUGUUGGUUUUCGGAAUUCCGAGGUAAUGAUUAAUAGGGACAACUGGGGGCAUUCGUAUUGCGACGUUAGAGGUGAAAUUCUUGGAUCGUCGCAAGACGGACAGAAGCGAAAGCAUUUGCCAAAUGUGUUUUCAUCAAUCAAGAACGAAAGUUAGAGGUUCGAAGGCGAUCAGAUACCGCCCUAGUUCUAACCAUAAACGAUGCCAGCUAGCGAUCCGCCGAAGUUCCUCCGAUGACUCGGCGGGCAGCUUCCGGGAAACCAAAGCUUUUGGGUUCCGGGGGAAGUAUGGUUGCAAAGCUGAAACUUAAAGGAAUUGACGRAAGGGCACCACCAGGAGUGGAGCCUGCGGCUUAAUUUGACUCAACACGGAAACCU